GUGCGUCAGAGUAGUAUCUGACUUCAUAGUUUAACUGCAAAAAUUACAAACUCAAAAACAUUCGAUCAUCUUGACUUGAAAAAACUUAAGGUGAGGAACGGCGGGCAUUGGCGUUCGGAAUCCUCUCCGCCUCUCCGGAAUCGACGUUCGGAAUCCUCUCCGGCAUCUCAUCAUGUUCCUUCGUCUUCGGCAACCUCCUUACUCGCUUCCUGCCAUCCGCCCCAUCCGUCUUCCAGUGAACAUGAGAAUUUUCCUGCCGGAGUCUAACCUAGAAGCGGCGGUGGUGAUUGCUGUUUCCCCGGACGAACAAACCACAAAUGAAUAAUUGCUCGAGAAGGCGAGAGACCGAGUGUAUCAACAACCGGCGACAUUGCCCUCUUGAAGAUUAGGUAUCUUAUUCUCAGAUCCAUAGCAGAAAUCGGAGAAGUAGAAGUUAAAUUUAACAUCUAAUGCUUGUGGAUCUAUAGCUUCAUGGCAUUUCACAAUUCACAUCCAAUGGAUCUACACGUUCAUUGAAUGUGUGUUUAACAAAGAAUGGGGCUGUUUUGAUUCUCAAUGAAGAAAAGCUUGUUGCAAUUGAGCUCGCUUUCAACUGUUUGCUUGUAAGCAACCAAACACUUGAUUUGUAGCUAAUAAAAAUUUCGUUAUCUUUUUCUUUUUCUUUUUCCUGACAGAUUUUUUCUUAUCUGAAAGAAAUUAUGGUUGUAAACUUGAGAAUUAAUGCAAUAUUAGUUAUUCAUCUUA